GGUCAAGUGAAGAAGCGCAUACGGUGGAUGCCUUGGCAGUCAGAGGCGAUGAAAGACGUGGUAGCCUGCGAAAAGCUUCGGGGAGUCGGCAAACAGACUGUGAUCCGGAGAUGUCUGAAUGGGGGAACCCAGCCAUCAUAAGAUGGUUAUCUUGUACUGAAUACAUAGGUGCAAGAGGCGAACCAGGGGAACUGAAACAUCUAAGUACCCUGAGGAAAAGAAAUCAACCGAGAUUCCCUUAGUAGUGGCGAGCGAACGGGGACCAGCCCUUAAGUUGUAUUGAGAUUAGCGGAACGUUCUGGAAAGGACGGCCAUAGUGGGUGAUAGCCCUGUACGCGAAAAUCCCUUUGCAAUGAAAUCGAGUAGGACGGGGCACGAGAAACCUUGUCUGAAUAUGGGGGGACCAUCCUCCAAGGCUAAAUACUACUGACUGACCGAUAGUGAACCAGUACCGUGAGGGAAAGGCGAAAAGAACCGCGGAGAGCGGAGUGAAAUAGAUCCUGAAACCGUAUGCGUACAAGCAGUGGGAGCCCACUUGUUGGGUGACUGCGUACCUUUUGUAUAAUGGGUCAGCGACUUAUUUUCAGUGGCGAGCUUAACCGAAUAGGGGAGGCGUAGCGAAAGCGAGUCUUAAUAGGGCGUCUAGUCGCUGGGAAUAGACCCGAAACCGGGCGAUCUAUCCAUGGGCAGGUUGAAGGUUGGGUAACACUAACUGGAGGACCGAACCGACUACCGUUGAAAAGUUAGCGGAUGACCUGUGGAUCGGAGUGAAAGGCUAAUCAAGCUCGGAGAUAGCUGGUUCUCCUCGAAAGCUAUUUAGGUAGCGCCUCAUGUAUCACUGUAGGGGGUAGAGCACUGUUUCGGCUAGGGGGUCAUCCCGACUUACCAAACCGAUGCAAACUCCGAAUACCUACAAGUGCCGAGCAUGGGAGACACACGGCGGGUGCUAACGUCCGUCGUGAAAAGGGAAACAACCCAGACCGUCAGCUAAGGUCCCAAAGUCAUGGUUAAGUGGGAAACGAUGUGGGAAGGCUUAGACAGCUAGGAGGUUGGCUUAGAAGCAGCCACCCUUUAAAGAAAGCGUAAUAGCUCACUAGUCGAGUCGGCCUGCGCGGAAGAUGUAACGGGGCUCAAACCAUGCACCGAAGCUACGGGUAUCAUCUUUUGAUGAUGCGGUAGAGGAGCGUUCUGUAAGCCUGUGAAGGUGAGUUGAGAAGCUUGCUGGAGGUAUCAGAAGUGCGAAUGCUGACAUGAGUAACGACAAUGGGUGUGAAAAACACCCACGCCGAAAGACCAAGGUUUCCUGCGCAACGUUAAUCGACGCAGGGUUAGUCGGUCCCUAAGGCGAGGCUGAAAAGCGUAGUCGAUGGAAAACAGGUUAAUAUUCCUGUACUUCUGGUUAUUGCGAUGGAGGGACGGAGAAGGCUAGGCCAGCCUGGCGUUGGUUGUCCAGGUUUAAGGUGGUAGGCUGAGAUCUUAGGUAAAUCCGGGAUUUCAAGGCCGAGAGCUGAUGACGAGUGUUCUUUAGAACACGAAGUGGUUGAUGCCAUGCUUCCAAGAAAAGCUUCUAAGCUUCAGGUAACCAGGAACCGUACCCCAAACCGACACAGGUGGUUGGGUAGAGAAUACCAAGGCGCUUGAGAGAACUCGGGUGAAGGAACUAGGCAAAAUGGCACCGUAACUUCGGGAGAAGGUGCGCCGGUGAGGGUGAAGCAUUUACUGCGUAAGCCCACGCCGGUCGAAGAUACCAGGCCGCUGCGACUGUUUAUUAAAAACACAGCACUCUGCAAACACGAAAGUGGACGUAUAGGGUGUGACGCCUGCCCGGUGCCGGAAGGUUAAUUGAUGGGGUUAGCGCAAGCGAAGCUCUUGAUCGAAGCCCCGGUAAACGGCGGCCGUAACUAUAACGGUCCUAAGGUAGCGAAAUUCCUUGUCGGGUAAGUUCCGACCUGCACGAAUGGCGUAACGAUGGCGGCGCUGUCUCCACCCGAGACUCAGUGAAAUUGAAAUCGCUGUGAAGAUGCAGUGUAUCCGCGGCUAGACGGAAAGACCCCGUGAACCUUUACUAUAGCUUUGCACUGGACUUUGAAUUUGCUUGUGUAGGAUAGGUGGGAGGCUUUGAAGCGUGGACGCCAGUCUGCGUGGAGCCAACCUUGAAAUACCACCCUGGCAACUUUGAGGUUCUAACUCAGGUCCGUUAUCCGGAUCGAGGACAGUGUAUGGUGGGUAGUUUGACUGGGGCGGUCUCCUCCUAAAGAGUAACGGAGGAGUACGAAGGUGCGCUCAGACCGGUCGGAAAUCGGUCGUAGAGUAUAAAGGCAAAAGCGCGCUUGACUGCGAGACAGACACGUCGAGCAGGUACGAAAGUAGGUCUUAGUGAUCCGGUGGUUCUGUAUGGAAGGGCCAUCGCUCAACGGAUAAAAGGUACUCCGGGGAUAACAGGCUGAUACCGCCCAAGAGUUCAUAUCGACGGCGGUGUUUGGCACCUCGAUGUCGGCUCAUCACAUCCUGGGGCUGAAGCCGGUCCCAAGGGUAUGGCUGUUCGCCAUUUAAAGUGGUACGCGAGCUGGGUUUAGAACGUCGUGAGACAGUUCGGUCCCUAUCUGCCGUGGACGUUUGAGAUUUGAGAGGGGCUGCUCCUAGUACGAGAGGACCGGAGUGGACGAACCUCUGGUGUUCCGGUUGUCACGCCAGUGGCAUUGCCGGGUAGCUAUGUUCGGAAAAGAUAACCGCUGAAAGCAUCUAAGCGGGAAACUUGCCUCAAGAUGAGAUCUCACUGGAACCUUGAGUUCCCUAAAGGGCCGUCGAAGACUACGACGUUGAUAGGUUGGGUGUGUAAGCGCUGUGAGGCGUUGAGCUAACCAAUACUAAUUGCCCGUGAGGCUUGACCAUAUAACACCCA
rnacentral:rRNA from 1 species